CAUCAGUGUAUUUAUACAAGUACAUGACAGUAAAAAUAAUGUAUAAAUAUAAACACUUGUCUAAAUCCUAUUGUUUCUAUACAUGUACUAUUUAACUAAUUUAUCCCGUUCUAUGUUGCUCACAUGUGGAGAGAAUAUUUCUAGAAGAAGCAUUCUUGUCCUCAUUUUCAUUGUCUGCCUUUAUCACCUUCAAUGAAGCUUUCUUGUUUGGAUCGAAUGACGCUCU
rnacentral:lncRNA from 1 species